rnacentral:lncRNA from 1 species
GGGCUACUAACGGCAAUAUUCACGGAGCAUUGUCUGUUUUUUUCAUCAGCAACAGCAAACCUUGCCAGGGUAAUCAUUGUGUCCCAGUUCUGCCAACUUUUCUGGAAGUGAAUGCGUGAUUUGUUGGCCAAAUUGUUAAGAUCAAAGAGAAAAAACAAUAGAUCAAAGGAAAAUGCCGCCAAAUAAGCAUAAACAUGUAUGACUCUCGCGCUAAAGACUUGACAGCCCUGCUGUCCUGGACACUAUUAUUUUUUUCCGCGGUUUUUCCCUGUCGUAUUUAGCAUUUUGGGGGGGGAUGAAUUUUCAGCCUCGUU